AUACGGAGGAUCCGAGCGUUAUCCGGAUUUAUUGGGUUUAAAGGGAGCGUAGGCGGACUAUUAAGUCAGCUGUGAAAGUUUGCGGCUCAACCGUAAAAUUGCGGUUGAUACUGGUCGUCUUGAGUGCAGUAGAGGUAGGCGGAAUUCGUGGUGUAGCGGUGAAAUGCUUAGAUAUCACGAAGAACUCCGAUUGCGAAGGCAGCUUACUGGACUGUAACUGACGCUGAUGCUCGAAAGUGUGGGUAUCAAACAGGAUUAGAUACCCUGGUAGUCCACACAGUAAACGAUGAAUACUCGCUGUUUGCGAUAUACGGCAAGCGGCCAAGCGAAAGCAUUAGGUAUUCCACCUGGGGAGUACGCCGGCAACGGUGAAACUCAAAGGAAUUGGCGGGG
rnacentral:rRNA from 1 species